rnacentral:rRNA from 1 species
CCUACGGGGAGCAGCAGUGGGGAAUCUUCCGCAAUGGGCGAAAGCCGGACGGAGCAACGCCGCGAGAGAGAAUGAAGGCCUGCGGGUUGUAAAGAGCUGUUGACAGGGACGAAGAAGCAAUGCGAAUAGUUUUGUGUAUGACGGUACCUGUUCAGAAAGCUCCGGCUAACUACGUGCCAGCAGCCGCGGUAAUACGUAGGGAGCAAGCGGUGUCCGGAAUUACUGGGCGUAAAGGGCGCGUAGGUGGGCGCUUAAGUCAGGUGUGAAAACGCCGGGCUCAACCUGGCGACUGCACUUGAAACUGGGUGUCUUGAGUGCCGGAGAGGCAAGUGGAAUUCCUAGUGUAGCGGU